AUUGAACGCUGGCGGCAUGCCUUACACAUGCAAGUCGAACGGCAGCACGGGGGCAGCCCUGGUGGCGAGUGGCGAACGGGUGAGUAAUGCAUCGGAACGUGCCCAGUAGUGGGGGAUAACCAGUCGAAAGACUGGCUAAUACCGCAUACGACCUAAGGGUGAAAGCGGGGGACCGUAAGGCCUCGCGCUAUUGGAGCGGCCGAUGUCUGAUUAGCUAGUUGGCGGGGUAAGAGCUCACCAAGGCGACGAUCAGUAGCUGGUCUGAGAGGACGACCAGCCACACUGGGACUGAGACACGGCCCAGACUCCUACGGGAGGCUGCAGUGGGGAAUUUUGGACAAUGGGCGCAAGCCUGAUCCAGCCAUGCCGCGUGCGGGAAGAAGGCCUUCGGGUUGUAAACUGCUUUUGUACGGAACGAAAAGGCUCUGGUUAAUACCUGGGGCUGAUGACGGUACCGUAAGAAUAAGCACCGGCUAACUACGUGCCAGCCGCCGCAGUAAAAC
rnacentral:rRNA from 1 species